rnacentral:misc_RNA from 1 species
UGAUACUGGAACUGCUGCUUCGGAC